GCACGACAGAGACUCCAGAGUAUGUUACUGCACUGUUCCAGAAGAUGUGACUUUCUGGCUGAUCUUACUAAGUAUGCACAACAGCACCAAAGAUGCAGGGUUUGAUGGCAGCGGGGCCGUUUCCGCACCGCACUGCCCGGGUGGUGAUGAUGUGUGAAAUAGUGUCCUCUGCUGCACGAACCGACACAGUGCGCCUGCCCUGAGUUGCCCCGCAGGAAGGCAGACAGGAGUGAGAAAGCUCCAGCCCUUGAACAACGGUAAAUCCUGAUCUAAAGGUAAAAUUUUCCGUGCUAAUGGGAAUAUGAUCUAUCUUAAUAACUAAAUCGGCUGACAAAAAUAGAUGCCUUGAAUGGAGGCUUGG
ensembl:lncRNA